GAGAGACCGGCGCACGGGUGCGUAACGCGUAUGUAACCUGCCUUACACCGGGGGAUAGCCUUCCGAAAGGGUGAUUAAUACCGCAUAAUAUUAUAUAGCCACCGUGGUUGUAUAAUUAAAACUUCGGUGGUGUAAGAUGGACAUGCGUAUGAUUAGCUAGUUGGGGGGUAACGGCCCACCAAGGCGACGAUCAUUAGGGGUUCUGAGAGGAAGGUCCCCCACACUGGUACUGAGACACGGACCAGACUCCUACGGGAGGCAGCAGUGAGGAAUAUUGGUCAAUGGACGGAAGUCUGAACCAGCCAUGUCCGCGUGCAGGAUGACUGCCCUAUGGGUUGUAAACUGCUUUUGUAUGGGAAGAAAGUGGGGUACGUGUACCCCUUUGCCGGUACCAUACGAAUAAGGAUCGGCUAACUCCGUGCCAGCCGCAGC
rnacentral:rRNA from 1 species